AUUUUAUUAGUUUAUAUAUAUACAUACAUGUAUGUAUACUGUUUGCACAAUGUGCAUCAAUAGACUCAAAGAAAAAAGAAGUGGACAUGGUAUUUAGAUAUCUGUUUUUAUUAACUGAAGUCUGUACUUUAUAACUGAACUAGCUGCUAGUUUAGAAUUUAUUUUUCUCCUUCCAUAUUUGAAAAAAACAGAUAAACUUUGAAUUAGUGUAACCAGUUCAACUAUAAAAAAA